rnacentral:lncRNA from 1 species
AGACUUUGCUUAUUCACUCUCUUUCUUUAUCUUUUCUUUUUUCCAGUAUCACACAGUAUUGACCUCCUGUUGAUCAAUUUAAACUCAGAAACCAUGGAAGCAAAAAAACUGGAUUUGGGGUCUGAGAACUGCAGUUCUAGAAAGCACAGAAUCAGAUGGCUCUGAAUGAGUGCUCCAAAGAAACUCAGAUUAGCCAGGACUUUAAAAGGGAAGGAGAAACUGAGGACCAAGCCCAGCCCUCAAUUCAUGCCGAAGUGGAACCUGAGGAACCCAAGGAAACGGAAGCUCUGACUUAAGAGGCACUGGUGAGAUGCUCCCCUAACCCACAGCUGCUGCCUCAUCCCGAUUCUGAUUCCCAGGAACGUUUACCAAGAGCAGAAAUCCCAGCCUGAGAACUCGGACUCCUGGUUCCAUUUUCAGCCUCGCCUCCAGAUCAGGGCAACCAGGGCUGACCUUGGCCAUG